UACAGAGGUCUCAAGCGUUGUUCGGAUUCAUUGGGCGUAAAGGGUGCGUAGGUGGCUCUAUAAGUAUGGUGUGAAAUCUCCCGGCUUAACUGGGAGGGUGCGCCGUAGACUGUGGGGCUAGAGUGUGGGAGAGGAAAGUGGAAUUCCGGGUGUAGCGGUGGAAUGCGUAGAGAUCCGGAAGAACACCAGUGGCGAAGGCGGCCCGCUGGGCAGUGGCUGACGCUGAGGCGCGACAGCGUGGGGAGCAAACAGG
rnacentral:rRNA from 1 species